AUUUUUAUUCACAUAACCAUAUCCCACAACUUGUUCCUCCUGUCACAGCAAAGGUUCCAACCAGUAGUCUCAGCUGGAGCCAUCAUUGUUUUAACUGAUCCCUAUCCCUUUACUACCCCUGCCAUGAAAAGUCCCAUGGGAAAGUUCUGGAAACAAAAUGCUGCAGCUAACUGCAUGCUUUGGCUUCUGUUAAACUGCUUGCUUGCUUUACUUCCUUGCAACUGCCAACCAGGAUAUAGUUUUUCUAUGAUUUUUAUUUUUCCUUUUAAGGUUCCCUGUAAUACAUUUAAGGCUGCUCAGUAAGACUGUUUCUCUUCAGCUAAAUAAAGACUUUCAAAUUCAGACUUUGGUGGUGCUGAAUGGUCUUUGGGUUUCUUUAUUUGUCUUUUCUUAUUUUAUUUAUUUAUUUAUUUAUUUAUUUAUUUAUUUAUUUAUUUAUAGUACACCGUAGCUGUCUUCAGACACACCAGAGGAUGACAUCAGAUCUCAUUACAGAUGGUUGUGAGCCACCAUGUGGUUGCUGGGAUUUGAACUAGAAGAGCAGUCGGUGCUCUUAACUGCUGAGCCAUCUCUCCAGCCCCAGUCUUUGGGUUUCAAUCCUGGAACACUCCUUAGAAAUUGAUAACUUCUCACAGUGGUUCACAGAACUCAGAACUAUACUUUGCUUUGUUCUAAUCCAUGUGAGAAAGUUACAGACCAUCACUAAUAUAAGGUUAAGUAACCGUCCUUUAUUUAAGCCAGAGUAGGCUUUUGUCAUGAAGAGUUCUCAGCCAAAAGUUCAAGAAUACAGCAUUUAUAAAUUUAAAAAAUCACAAUAACAUUGUUAGGAGACCCUUCUAACAUUUGUUUUGGCAGAACACAGUUAUUUGGUUUUACAUUCAGCAGCUAUUUUGGUUAUACAUCUUUGGAUAUGGUCAGGGGUGGGUUUGCAGUGAAAAAGCACCUCAACAGAUACAAAAUGGAGUCAAGAUCAAGACAAGAUGGUGUUACCUCAGUUACUUCAGCAUAUGUUUACUAGUUAAUUGCAAAUGGUAUGUAUAAAGGACACUGAUGAUCAGCUACGUGAAAAACAUAGGGGAGGCUCUAGAAUGGUUCCCCAGGAUAGGACCCCCAAUAGAAUUGGAGUGCUAGAUCAAUAACCCAGCUCUAGAAAUCUAGAAAUCUAGAAUUUGCCACCCACACCAAAUUACCAACUAAGGAAAUGAAUAAUGAUGAAAACCAAAGAAAAGAGAUUAAAUCAGUGUACAUUUGCAAGUGGAGCAGGUGAAGAGGUCUGAUGAUCCUAAAUUCAUUGUUGAGGUAUCGACACAAGCUUUAGGCUUAAGUAGAUAAAGAAUUAAGGCAGGAUAGUAAGACAUAUACCUAAUUAAGUAGUUCUAGUCAAGUGAUCACUGACUAAUUCUGCUCUGGUACCAAAGGGUAGUUAAAUAGUUAACUCUGCUAUAUAUAACUUAAGGAAACCAAUCUAGUUCCUACAACAUGGUUACUUCUGCUACAGGGUACCUUCAUGGGUAAUUCUAUUUUCAUAUAGUUUGUCCUCUGAAGUUUGACUUUUCUUUAAAUCAAAGAUGCCUGCAGGUUUAGGGAAAUCACUUAUCACUGUACUUUAAAUCAGUGUUCAGAACCAAGUGUUUACGGAUUCUCGGCUUCUUAUCCACAGAAUUCCACAGGGAAAAAAAGGAUUCACACAGAUGUGUAGAAGAAGUAAGAUAAUUUUAUUUAGAAUGAAGUUAAAGUACUAAUUAUAGAGGGAUAUAUUCUCAAGACUGACUAUGGCCCACACAAAAAUAUUUAAGGGCCCUAGGCUACAGCCUUGGGUUUCUUUUUAUAGAGUUGUGUAAAGGAAAGGUCCUAGAGUCACAUGUUACAGUGAACCUUCUGUGACUUAACUGAUUAGAACUUCAGGGAUUGUACAAAGAUUGGAUGUUGACUGUCCAGAGACAUGUUGUAUGUCUCUCUUGAUAGAGGAGGGCACUUGUUGCCUCCUCUGUGUGUGAUCUAAGGACAAAUCCUUGUUUCCACCAAUCAAAAGACUGAGAAUGCCCACAGAUAGCAUCUGAUACCUAUAGGGCUAAUUUUCUUUCUUUCUAUAUCCUGCCUAUAUAAUGUGCCCACCAAUGUAUUUGAAAAGUGUCCAGAGAGAGGAGCCAGAUAUUUUAAGUUGAGACCAGCCUGGUCUACAAGCAAGUUCCAGGACAGCCAGGACUACACAGAAAAACCCUGUCUCAAAACAUACACACACAUGCACAUACACACACAUGAAAAAAAAAAAGAAAUCUCACUCUUUAAAAUAUUAAACUUUGGAGUUACUUGUUAAAUAGCCAAAGAUAAUUAACUGACACACUUGGGAUUGUAGAUGGUACAGUGUUGUGUGAACUAUUUCUGGGGAGACAUGAACAUCUAUUUAUUCCAGUUAGGGAACCAAUGACAAGCCAAAGUAAGGACACCACCGAAGUCCAACAUGGUGAACCAGCUAGCUUUAUUUGGGUCACUUAACAGGAGCAAAAAUAAUGAAAAGACAGCUGCAUCGCCAAAGCCCACACCCAGCAUAUGUGACAGUUCACUAAAGCUGGGCACCUAGAACACAUUGUACAGCCUUCAUUUAGCUCAAGAAGUUGGAAAAUGUCUCUCCAGUUGGCCUGAGGUUGCCAGGCCUCUUCCAGGCAACUCACUGGUCUCUGCUGCUUACAAGAAGUUAGGCUGGUGUUUGAGACCUAGUGAAUCUAGAUUGUCCAAUUUCAGGGACUUCCUGCGCUUAAGCUUUACUGCAGAAUGGAAUGUUUCAACCUCCUCUUAGAGUAUCCUGUUGCCUCACCUGUGAACAUCCUGUGUCUUAAUAAGCUUUCCUCCUAGAUGCCAUCAGAUCCUGCCUUGUGAGAAUGGUCAAGAGGAAAUGGCUCCUAGGCCAUUUCCUGUCAACCCAAAGACAGGUGAUUCCAGGGAAGGGCACAUCCUGACUAUAGAAGGUUAAGUAGGCCAAGAGGGCAGCCAGACUAGGCUGAAUAUUAGGGGUAACACAGGGUUGUUCCCAACCCUAGAACCAAAUCCUCAAUCCUAACUGCUUAAUUACCAGCUGCUUUAUGGUCCUUGAAUGCCUCACUUCUCGAUAGAGAUCACCCUGCAUUCUGUGUGGGUCUUUCCUCAUUUGCUUCUUGGGACUUCCUUGUCAGUACUGUGGCCUCCCUCUUACAACCCAUCUCUUCAUGUUAGGCUUAUUCCUCUGCCAACUGUGUAGCUCUGAGUUUGGCAGACUAGGCCAAUGUCAUUGCCAGCGUGGAGUAUCCAGUGGGCUGCCCUUUCUCCACAGUGCUGAACAAUGCCAGCUUCUCCCUUAUACUAAAGACACGGCUCCAAGGACUGGAAACCCUGGCAGGGCAAGACUAUAGGAAUGGCCCUUGGGAAACUGGUGUCAAGAGAAGAUGCCAUCUGGGGCAUAUUGAGGAUAGUCUGCCACUUGGUCCCACUGCAAAGAGUGAUCUUUCCCAGGUUCUGGCUCUCCUUGCCACCCAGUUCCAGAUAACCAUGUAGAUAUUCUGGCUGUGAGAGUUGAAACAUAGCAGCUGUCCAUUCCUGGCGACAAGGCUCUAUGCCAGAACACAGAAAUCAGAUGGGGCCCAUAAUGACACAGCCCAAGAACCUCAGAUUCUAGGACUGAAGGAAUCAGGAGCAGAUGGUUGGGAGAAAACAAUACAUGAUCCUGACAGAAAUGCCUUUGAGAUCAUCUGCUGCUGUUAUGCCCAGUUUUCAGGAACCCCAGGAGAACACCAGGAAGUGCAAGUCCACUAUAAUAACAGAGCCUUUAUUCACGAGUCAGACCCGGAUCACAAGCCUUUCUCACUGUGCAGGUUAAAAAUGUGAUCCCCGUAUCCAGAGUCUUGGAGCUUUUGUCCUGUCUGUCUGUCUGUCUGUGUCUGUCUGUUUGUUUGUUUGUUUGUUUGUUUGUUUGUUUGUUUUUCGAGACAGAGUUUCUCUGUUAUAGCCCAGGCUGUCCUGGAACUCACUUUGUAGGCCAUGCUGGUCUCUAAGAAACUGGCCUGCUUCUGCCUCCCAAGUGCUGGGAUUAAAAGCAUGGCCACCACUGCCAGGCAGGGCUUGGAGGUUUUAUAUGCAUAAGCAGGGAUCCUCGGACUUUGGGGUUACGUGACUGGGGAGUUAACAAGGGGAAGCCAUUCUUCAAACCUGAUAAUAUUUGUGCAGCUGGGAGGGGGAACCUACUGACCUGGGAAGUAACUUUAUAGUGCUAUCAGGAGCUAGUGUAUUUUUACAAACUGGUCACAGCUGUCUGGGAACACUUAAUUGCCCUUCUCUCAAGGUCCAAGAGUGGGCCACUUAUCAUUUCAAGGAUGUUUGUUCCACGUUCCCUUCAAGGACAGGAGCCAUCUGCACCAGAGAAAUGUUGGUUAUCUAUCAAGGAGAGUGUCAGCCUUAGUGUUGCCUUUUGUCUGUUCCCAAAACUGGUGUCUGCCUUCUCCCAUAGGGAAGUUGUUAAGAGGAAGGGAGUGCCACCAUGAAAAGGGGAAUUGCAAUAUUCUAGCACCAGGCUGGGCCCUCUCUGUUUGCCCUUUCCACAAGGCCAGAGGCAUCUAUGCUAGGAAAAGGGGAAGGGGAGCUCUGACUGCAUGAGCAGCGGGAAAGUGCAGAGGCAGGUCAGGUCUCUUCAAUGCCAGAGUGGCCUAUGCUGUUCCCACAAGGCCAAUGAACAUAUGGUUCUGGCUGCCUAAGCCACAUGCCUACAAAGAGCUUCUCUAGCAGUGUCUAGCCCCACAAGGAAGCCAUUUGUCCAAAUGUUAGACACACUAUUGGGUAGUCCCAGAAGCUUGUCUGGCUUCCUGCCUAGGCAUGUGAAUACUAGCAGUGUGGCCUGGGCCAGGAAUAUGUGUCCUCUGUUGUAAAACGCUAGUCAUUUGAACCAGAGGCCACUGAGAACCAUCUGGGGGAAAAAAAGUGGCGGUUUGAAUAAGAAUGGCCUCCAUAGGCUCAUAUAUGUGAAUAUUUGGUUCUCAUUUGGUGAACUGUUUAGGAAGGAUUAGUAGGGUAGCCUUAUUAGAGUUAGUGUGCCGCUGAGGUUUCAAAAGCCCCCAGUCUUAUUCUCUUUGCCCAUGUUUGUGAAUUAGGAUGCAAGCUCUCAGCUAUUGCUCCUGCACCAUGCCUACUGCCUGCUGCCUUGCUCCCUUGCUACCAUGGUGGUCAUGGACUUACCCUCUGAACUUAUAAGCAAGCCCCCAGUUGUUUUAUUUUUUUUUUUAAAGUGUUUUGAGUUACAAUUUUUUUUUCAGUUCUAUUACUAUAACAGUAUCAUGAAGCUGUUAACUUGGAAUAUGGAAUUGGGGAUAACUUGAACCAGUGUUCUAUAACCAUAGUCAUUCAUAAACUCAACAGUAUACUAUCUCUUAACAAUUUGAGGUAAGAGUAUUGAUUUUGCAUCAGUGGAGCUGAUUACUAAAGAGCAUAGUUUAGGUGGUUCUCUAUUUUGAUUGAUAGAUUAACUCAUGUAUUUAUUUUGCCUAUUAUACAUGUCCCCUUCCAUAAGUUACCUUCUGUGCCCAAUUAUGCAUAGGCACAAAAUGGUAAAUAGGGGAUUCUCCCUGAAAGUUUACAAAAGGACACAAUUUUGCCUUAUGGUGAUGCACCCAAAACCAGUUCAUCCUGAAUUCGGUUCUUUGUACCUGGAUAAUUAGAAAUAACACUGUUGCCAGGCAGUGGUGGCACAUGCCUUUAAUCCCAGCACUUGGGAGGCAGAGGCAGGCGGAUUUCUGAAUUCGAGGCCAGCCUGGUCUACAGCCUGAGUUCCAGGACAGCCAGGGCUGCAGAGAGAAACCCUGUCUCAACCACCCCCUCC
rnacentral:lncRNA from 1 species